rnacentral:rRNA from 1 species
CAUGCAAGUCGAACGGCAGCACGGGAGCAAUCCUGGUGGCGAGUGGCGAACGGGUGAGUAAUACAUCGGAACGUGCCCAAUCGUGGGGGAUAACGCAGCGAAAGCUGUGCUAAUACCGCAUAAGAUCUAAGGAUGAAAGCAGGGGACCGCAAGGCCUUGCGCGAAUGGAGCGGCCGAUGGCAGAUUAGGUAGUUGGUGAGGUAAAGGCUCACCAAGCCUUCGAUCUGUAGCUGGUCUGAGAGGACGACCAGCCACACUGGGACUGAGACACGGCCCAGACUCCUACGGGAGGCAGCAGUGGGGAAUUUUGGACAAUGGGCGCAAGCCUGAUCCAGCCAUGCCGCGUGCAGGAUGAAGGCCUUCGGGUUGUAAACUGCUUUUGUACGGAACGAAAAGGUUCUCUCUAAUAAAGAGGGCUCAUGACGGUACCGUAAGAAUAAGCACCGGCUAACUACGUGCCAGCAGCCGCGGUAAUACGUAGGGUGCAAGCGUUAAUCGGAAUUACUGGGCGUAAAGCGUGCGCAGGCGGUAAUGUAAGACAGUUGUGAAAUCCCCGGGCUCAACCUGGGAACUGCAUCUGUGACUGCAUUGCUGGAGUACGGUAGAGGGGGAUGGAAUUCCGCGUGUAGCAGUGAAAUGCGUAGAUAUGCGGAGGAACACCGAUGGCGAAGGCAAUCCCCUGGACCUGUACUGACGCUC